rnacentral:rRNA from 1 species
UACGAAGGGGGGCUAGCGUUGCUCGGAAUUACUGGGCGUAAAGCGCACGUAGGCGGUCUUUUAAGUCGGGGGUGAAAUCCUGGAGCUCAACUCCAGAACUGCCUUCGAUACUGGAAGACUUGAGUCCGGGAGAGGUGAGUGGAACUGCGAGUGUAGAGGUGAAAUUCGUAGAUAUUCGCAAGAACACCAGUGGCGAAGGCGGCUCACUGGCCCGAUACUGACGCUGAGGCACGAAAGCGUGGGGAGCAAACAGG